rnacentral:lncRNA from 1 species
UCGCACAUGGAUUUAUGUAAAUACAUAAAAAUUCCAUGAAAUUUUCAUUACUCGGAAUAAAUAAUACAGCAUUUUGUUAUUCUCUCUAAGUGCAAUUAAGUUCUGGUAAAUUCCGAUCACAAUAACUAUCGACACAAACACAAUACUGCAUAGAAACACUGAUAAAUACCUGUUUUUACAGAGUAAUGAAGGGUUUAGACGAUCCUACUCCAUUGCUCUAUGAAAAUAUGACUAAAAGACAAUGAAAAUUACACAGCCUGCGAAACACAAACUCGCCAUGGUAGCUGAGAUGUGAAGCAUUACAGAGAAAAUGUUAUUGUGCUCUUGAAACAGGAUAAGGGGGUGGCAGACUAACCAUUGCUUGUCUACUACAAAACAAACUUUUCAAAAAACUUCAAUUGUCCAUGGAUUUGCUUGCACACAUCAGAGUUUAUAAAUGACAAACCCAUUUGAAUUCUUUUCUUCAGUUUUCGGAUGUGUUUUCUGAGUCGAAUUCUCAAUUUGCAGAGUCUCAAUCUCAACAAAGAUGGCCUCCUUCUUGGCUUGUCUGAUUUUUCAAGUGUCUUUGCAAUCAAAUAGAGAGCAAGCCUAUGGUUUUGCUCUUCAGGGUCUUCAUGGAAGGCUGGUAGCUUGUAAUAAGCAUAUGCCUUCCCCAUUUGACAGAAGGAAGG